GACAGGUGCUGCAUGGCUGUCGUCAGGCUCGUGUUGUUGAAAUGUUGGGUUAAGUCCCGCAACGAGCGCAACCCUUAUCCUUUGUUGCCAGCGAGUAAUGUCGGGAACUCAAGGAGACUGCCGGUGAUAAACCGGAGGAAGGUGGGGAUGACGUCAAGUCAUCAUGGCCCUUACGAGUAGGGCUACACACGUGCUACAAUGGCAUAUACAAAGAGAAGCGAACUCGCGAGAGCAAGCGGACCUCAUAAAGUAUGUCGUAGUCCGGAUUGGAGUCUGCAACUCGACUCCAUGAAGUCGGAAUCGCUAGUAAUCGUAGAUCAGAAUGCUACGGUGAAUACGUUCCCGGGCCUU
rnacentral:rRNA from 1 species